UGUAGAAGCCGGCUUGCUGGCGAUAGCGUUGUGUCAGGCGCCAUCAAUGCUGACUGAUGCACCGCUAUCGCCAGCAAGCCGGCUCCUACA
rnacentral:misc_RNA from 1 species